rnacentral:rRNA from 1 species
AGGACGAACGCUGGCGGCGUGCUUAACACAUGCAAGUCGAGCGGAAAGGCCCUUCGGGGUACUCGAGCGGCGAACGGGUGAGUAACACGUGAGCAACCUGCCCUUAGCUCCGGGAUAGCUCCGGGAAACCGGAAUUAAUACCGGAUACGACCACGGCCGACAUCUGCUGUGGUGGAAAGGAUUCCGGCUAAGGAUGGGCUCGCGGCCUAUCAGCUAGUUGGUGGAGUAACGGCCCACCAAGGCGACGACGGGUAGCCGGCCUGAGAGGGCGACCGGCCACACUGGGACUGAGACACGGCCCAGACUCCUACGGGAGGCAGCAGUGGGGAAUAUUGCGCAAUGGGCGAAAGCCGGACGCAGCGACGCCGCGUGGGGAUGAAGGCCUUCGGGUUGUAAACCCCUUUCAGCAGGGACGAAGCGAAAGUGACGGUACUGCAGAAGAAGCGCCGGCUAACUACGCGCCAGCAGCCGC